rnacentral:tRNA from 1 species
GACAGUGUGGCCGAGUGGUUAAGGCGACUGACUCGAAAUCAGUUGGGAUUUUCCCGCGCAGGUUCAAAUCCUGCUGCUGUCG